rnacentral:rRNA from 1 species
AUACUUUUUGAUAAUUAUUUUGUGAAAAAAAACUAGAAAAAUUUAUUACCGUACUUAAUACCAACUCAGGUAGCCUGGUAGAAUAUACUAAGAUUUUGGGAUAACAAUAUUGAAGGAACUCGGCAAAUUAACUCUGUAACUUCGGAAGAAAGAGAGCCUG